rnacentral:misc_RNA from 1 species
GGGAAAUUCAACAAGGGCUGCAUGCUACAAAAUUCGUGAACUAUUGAAUUCAGAAAAAAUGUAGACAAAAUUAUUAUUUUGUUAAGCACAAGGGUGCGCUAAGUUCAAUGAAAUGAUCACAGAAAAAAGAUGUUGACUGAGAAAAAAGAUAUUUGACAUUCCUGGCUUUUGCAGAGAGGUGUGCAUAACUAAUCACAUUUUAGCGGCAGCUGUAAACAAUCACCGUUCAUUCAACUUUAAAAUAGUGAUUGGCAGCCUUUUUAACGAUCAGAUGUUAAUUUUAGAAUUUAGAAAUCUGAUAUAAAAAUUCUCAGAAUUAUUCAAAUGAAUAAGCUGAUGAAUCAUGCCAACUUAGGAAACAUCUGAAUUUAGCCCAGCAAGACAUUUUAAUGAUCACUGAGCGGUAAUAUUAUGUUGAAUAUCAAGGAAUUCUACCCACACAUCACCGGUAUUACCUACUGAUGAUUAUGCUAUGGCUAGA